GACAGCAUAAGGGCUCCACCUCUUCCCAUUCCGAACAGAGAAGUUAAACCUUAUCACGCCGAUGGUACUGCGAAAGCGGGAGAGUAGGUAAUCGCCACCU
rnacentral:rRNA from 1 species